CAGCAGCCGCCGCGGGAAUACCGAGGGUGCGAGCGUUAAUCGGAUUUACUGGGCGUAAAGCGUGCGUAGGCGGCUAAUUGAGUCGGAUGUGAAAUCCCCGAGCUUAACUUGGGAAUUGCAUUCGAUACUGGUUAGCUAGAGUGUGGGAGAGGAUGGUAGAAUUCCAGGUGUAGCGGUGAAAUGCGUAGAGAUCUGGAGGAAUACCGAUGGCGAAGGCAGCCAUCUGGCCUAACACUGACGCUGAGGUACGAAAGCAUGGGGAGCAAACAGGAUUAGAUACCCCAGUAGUCCCUGUCUCUUAUAC
rnacentral:rRNA from 1 species